rnacentral:rRNA from 1 species
CAUGCAAGUCGAACGAGAAAGCGGGGGCACUCCGUGAGUAAAGUGGCAGACGGGUGAGUAACACGUGAACAACCUACCCUCGAGUGGGGAAUAACACCGCGAAAGCGGUGCUAAUACCGCAUAACAUCUCCGGGUCGCAUGGCCCGGAGAUCAAAAGCGAAAGUUGCUUGGGGAGGGGUUCGCGCCUGAUUAGCUAGUUGGUGAGGUAACGGCCCACCAAGGCAACGAUCAGUAGCCGGCCUGAGAGGGCGAACGGCCACACUGGAACUGAGACACGGUCCAGACUCCUACGGGAGGCAGCAGUGGGGAAUUUUGCGCAAUGGGCGAAAGCCUGACGCAGCAACGCCGCGUGGAGGAUGAAGGCCUUCGGGUCGUAAACUCCUGUCAGUAGGGACGAAUGCUCCGCAAGGGGUUUGACUGUACCUGCUGAGGAAGCCACGGCUAACUCCGUGCCAGCAGCCGCGGUAAUACGGAGGUGGCAAGCGUUGUUCGGAAUUACUGGGCGUAAAGGGCGCGUAGGCGGCUUGGCAAGUCAGAUGUGAAAGCCCCGGGCUUAACUCGGGAAUUGCAUCUGAAACUGCUUUGCUUGAGUCCUGGAUGGGAUAGUGG